rnacentral:lncRNA from 1 species
CUGCUUUAACUCCAUGGCUCUGCUUCUGCAGACUACUAAGUUCUUUUUGACUGAAUACGUAUGUG